GUCUUGGCGUCUACCCCGUGGUGUGAUUGGGAGCCUGGAAUGAAUGGAUACAUGCCAAGUACUUAGCACGCCGCCUGGCACACGGAGGAGGCAGUGUGGGAGCAGCCCAGAUCCUGGCACCCACGUCUCCAUCAGGAAACCUCUAACACGCAUGUCAAACGCACGGCUCACAACGAAUAUUUCUGCGGCCCCGCCAAUGUAACGACGCCCAGCUGACCGCCCCCGUUCUGCGGAGCUGUGAUGAUUUCAUACUCGGCGAGGAGCUGGGUCCUUUCAGACUUGUUCUUGCUAAAUGAGAACAUGACAACAGGAGAAGCAGCACUGAAGCAGCGGCGGUGUGGCAGGUGGUUAGGUGCGGCGGUUAGAGGCAGACAGACCAGGCUGCGAUUGUGAGUCUGCCUCCGAGGAGCCGUGAGGCCUGGUGCAAUCACCUUCCCCCAUUAGGCCUCAGUUUACUGAUCUGCAGAGUGGGUGGAAUAUCAUCUACCCACAGAGCCCGGUGCCGGAAGCCCAGGGGCAUCUGUUGCUCUGUCACCAGGCGCCCCACCUCCCCGCUCACCCCUGCGCCCCGCAGUCCCGAGGGCCUACAUGCGGGCAGCGAUGCCGAGGCCAGGCUGCCCGGGUCUGCAUCCCGAACACCAGCCACGCCAUCCCCUGCACCGGUUUCUCACCUCCCGGUGCCUCCGCUUCCCCACAUAGGGAACAGGGACGACAGCAGCACCUGCCUCCCACCACUGCUUUGGGGAUUAAACUGGUUAAU